ACUAAGGGAGGGCUAGCGUUGCUCGGAAUCACUGGGCGUAAAGGGUGCGUAGGCGGGUCUUUAAGUCAGGGGUGAAAUCCUGGAGCUCAACUCCAGAACUGCCUUUGAUACUGAAGAUCUUGAGUUCGGGAGAGGUGAGUGGAACUGCGAGUGUAGAGGUGAAAUUCGUAGAUAUUCGCAAGAACACCAGUGGCGAAGGCGGCUCACUGGCCCGAUACUGACGCUGAGGCACGAAAGCGUGGGGAGCAAACAGG
rnacentral:rRNA from 1 species